GUCAAAACUGAAAAGUCUGAACCCUAAAGACCUAAAUCAAUCCCUGUAAGGCCGUAACCCAUCUUCUUCACAAACUCAUCUCUCCUAUUUUCUCUGAGAAUCGCGCAGCCACCAAUCACGCAGCCUCCGCAUCCUGCCACCAUCGCAUCCUGCAGCCACCACAGCGACGGAUUUGACCACCACAGCCCCACCGCGUCGUUGUCAUCGCGGAGCUCGCCUUCUCUGUGUUUGCCGGUGUCACGUCCUCUGUCGUCGCCGUUGCUCGCCGCCGGGAGUUUGUUGAUUUAAGUUUUACUGUGGAGUUUGUGGAGUUUGCUGAGUUUUACUAGUGUAGACGAGGUUUCUAUCAACUUUGAGAAGAACAAGAGCAGGGUAUUGAUCAGAGUUUACGCUUUUGAGUUUUUUGUUGAGAUUCUGUACAAAAGGUGUGUCAUUUCUAGCAGGAAGUUGAAGUUGAGAAAAAGAAGGGAUCAGUGUUUAAGAUGCCUUUGUAUUGGAAUAUAGUUGUGAUGAUUUUAUUGUCAACUAAGAUUGGAGCAUCCAUAAAGACCCUUUGCAGCCAUCAAGUACUUGCGUGGAACAAUGUUGGCAUAAACUAAAACAUGUGGUUUGUUAUAGUCCAAUUAAUAUGAAACUUAUGGUGAAUGGUUUUGUUAAAUUUUGAUGGAUGAUAGUUGGUGUUUUAUUAAAUUUUUUGAAAUAAUUUUAUUGAUGAUUGAUUAUAUUUUUUAAAUA